UUGGCGUAGGGUUUGGCCUGUUUGUCCAAUAUAUAGAGCUGAAGGGCACUGUUGGCAUUUGAUGGCAUACACCAUGUUAGACGAUGAGCAAUUAAAUAUUCCC